rnacentral:rRNA from 1 species
AGCGAACGCUGGCGGCAGGCCUAACACAUGCAAGUCGAACGAAGUUUUCGGACUUAGUGGCGGACGGGUGAGUAACACGUGGGAACGUGCCUUUAGGUUCGGAAUAACUCAGGGAAACUUGUGCUAAUACCGAAUGUGCCCUUCGUGGGAAAGAUUUAUCGCCUUCAGGGCGGCCCGCGUCUGAUUAGCUAGUUGGUGAGGUAAAGGCUCACCAAGGCGAGGAUCAGUAGCUGGUCUGAGAGGAUGAUCAGCCACAUUGGGACUGAGACACGGCCCAAACUCCUACGGGAGGCAGCAGUGGGGAAUCUUGCGCAAUGGGCGAAAGCCUGACGCAGCCAUGCCGCGUGAAUGAUGAAGGUCUUAGGAUUGUAAAAUUCUUUCACCGGGGACGAUAAUGACGGUACCCGGAGAAGAAGCCCCGGCUAACUUCGUGCCAGCAGCCGCCGUAA